AUUUUUCCUGUGUUUGAGCAAACUUUGCCUCAGCUGCCUGUUGGGAAGUGCAUGUCCCAUUUACUCUUUGAGUUUCUACUUCAGAAGGAAGUGAAUACACUUCCUGCUGUUUGCAGGAGCAGGGCUGAGGUGAGAACAACUCUGGCACUGCAGGAUGCAAGAAACUCCCAGGAGCUGUGGUGCCCAAAGCAGAACACAGGUUACACAAACUCUGCAGCCCUGGAUUGCUCCUUAAAGAAAACUCCAGGGAUAACAUUCCUUUUGAGGUUUGAAGGACUUGCAGUGAAAGAGGAAUGUGAGCAAUUGGAUUUCAACCAGCUUGGCAGAGCCUUGGAUGUUUCUACCAGCCACAAACAUACCC
rnacentral:lncRNA from 1 species